GUAUCCAGUGAAAGUAAUUUUGCAACCAGCUGCAGUCGCAUACAUCUAUUACAUUUCUUUACUGCGGCUAACUAUAGUUGUUCCAGCAGAGUAAUAAUAUAUAGUAAUUAAUAGGGGAGAUAAUCCAGGAAGCUGAGUAACACAGAGCAAUCAGGUUGUAGAACGAAUAAACAAAUCCUCUACUUAGAGCAUGAUUAAUAGAGUUUCUUAGGGUGAGGCUUUUAUCGGAAUAUAAGAAAUGUCUCUUAAUUUUUGAUUAAAAAAACUAAGAAUUGGCUCUUAGUUUUUUUAGUUAAAAGUUAAAAGACGGUUUCUUAUACUCUGAUAAAAAUCUCACCUUAAGAACUUCCAUUAAUCAUGCUCUUAUAAAUCUAAAAUGUUUUAAAUACUCACAACUUCCUUCAAAAAAUUCAUCUCUUUGCGCCA
rnacentral:lncRNA from 1 species